rnacentral:rRNA from 1 species
GAUCAUGGCUCAGGAUGAACGCUAGCUACAGGCUUAACACAUGCAAGUCGAGGGGCAUCAUGUCGGUUGCUUGCAACCGAUGAUGGCGACCGGCGCACGGGUGAGUAACGCGUAUCCAACCUUCCGCACACUAAGGGAUAACCCGUUGAAAGACGGCCUAAUACCUUAUGCACUCCACGGCAGACAUCUAAUGUGGAGUAAAGAUUCAUCGGUGUGUGAUGGGGAUGCGUCUGAUUAGGCAGUUGGCGGGGUAACGGCCCACCAAACCGACGAUCAGUAGGGGUUCUGAGAGGAAGGUCCCCCACAUUGGAACUGAGACACGGUCCAAACUCCUACGGGAGGCAGCAGUGAGGAAUAUUGGUCAAUGGGCGAGAGCCUGAACCAGCCAAGUAGCGUGCAGGACGACGGCCCUAUGGGUUGUAAACUGCUUUUAUGCGGGGAUAAAACGCGGGACGUGUCCCGCCUUGCAGGUACCGCAUGAAUAAGGACCGGCUAAUUCCGUGCCAGCAGCCGCGGUAAUACGGAAGGU